rnacentral:rRNA from 1 species
UACGGGGGGGGGCAAGCGUUGUUCGGAAUUACUGGGCGUAAAGGGCUCGUAGGCGGCCAACUAAGUCAGACGUGAAAUCCCUCGGCUUAACCGGGGAACUGCGUCUGAUACUGGAUGGCUUGAGUUUGGGAGAGGGAUGCGGAAUUCCAGGUGUAGCGGUGAAAAUGCGUAGAUAUCUGGAGGAACACCGGUGGCGAAGGCGAGUCCCCUGGACAACUCCUGACACUGAGGCACGAAAAGCUAGGGGGAGCAAACAGG